rnacentral:rRNA from 1 species
AGAGUGAACGCUGGCGGCAGGCCUAACACAUGCAAGUCGAACGGCAGCGGGUCGUAGCAAUACGAUGCCGGCGAGUGGCGGACGGGUGAGGAAUACAUCGGAAUCUACCUUGUCGUGGGGGAUAACGUAGGGAAACUUACGCUAAUACCGCAUACGAACUACGGUUGAAAGCGGCGGACUCGCAAGUAGCGUCGCGCGAUUGGAUGAGCCGAUGUCCGAUUAGCUAGUUGGCGGGGUAAAGCCCAC